CUGACUUCCAAGUGAACAGUGUUGCAGCUUCCCUGACUGCAGUUAUAGGAGAAGACAGGGAGGAGAUAAAGAUGAGAGUGCCUCGGGAAGAGCAGGGAUGGAGGAGACAACCUGAGUCUUCUGAUCCAAAGGAGUGUGAAGAUGGAGUGACAUUGAGAGAACUGCAGAAGAAAGGGACUUGGCAUUUAUGGAGCAUACACCUGUACCAUCAUAUCAAAAUGCAACACAGCUAUUGCCUCUUGGAACAUUAUAAUAGAAUGGGGAAAUCAAGUAUAUAAAGAGUAAGCCAGGAUGUGGAGCCAGGAGAGAAGGGGCAUUCAAAGGGCCUGGGAGACCCUUGGUGAAAACAAUCAGUUGGUUUC
rnacentral:lncRNA from 1 species